UCUCCGUAGGUGAACCUGCGGAGGGAUCAUUACUGAGUGAGGGCUUCGGUCCGACCUCCAACCCUUUGUGUGAACCAAACUUGUUGCUUCGGGGGCGACCCUACCGUUCGGCGCGGCGCUCCCGGUGGCCAAUUAUUAAACUCUGCAUCUCUUGCGUCGGAGUCUUAAAGAAAUUUAAACAAAACUUUCAACAACGGAUCUCUUGGUUCUGGCAUCGAUGAAGAACGCAGC
rnacentral:misc_RNA from 1 species